CACGGGGGGAGCAAGCGUUGUUCGGAAUCACUGGGCGUAAAGGGCGUCUAGGCGGUCAAGUAAGUGGGAUGUGAAAUGCCCCGGCUCACCCGGGGACCGGCAUCCCAUACUGUUGGCUUGAGUACGGGAGAGGAUGUGGGAAUUCCUGGUGUAGCGGUGAAAUGCGUAGAUAUCAGGAGGAACACCGGUGGCGAAGGCGCACAUCUGGCCCGAUGACUGACGCUGAAGCGCGAAAGCUAGGGAGCAAACGGGAUAGAUA
rnacentral:rRNA from 1 species